rnacentral:rRNA from 1 species
UACGUAGGGUGCGAGCGUUGUCCGGAAUUAUUGGGCGUAAAGAGCUUGUAGGCGGUUUGUCGCGUCUGCUGUGAAAUCUCAAGGCUCAACCUUGAGCUUGCAGUGGGUACGGGCAGACUAGAGUGUGGUAGGGGAGACUGGAAUUCCUGGUGUAGCGGUGAAAUGCGCAGAUAUCAGGAGGAACACCGAUGGCGAAGGCAGGUCUCUGGGCCACUACUGACGCUGAGGUGCGAAAGCGUGGGGAGCAAACAGG